GAGAAGAAAAUUUUUUUCGUUCCCAAUCGCUUAAGCUUGCUGGGAGAUUUGGGGAUUCAUUUAGAAGAGAACCUCACAUGCACUGCAGAUGAGAAAUAUCUUUUCUGGAAUCAGUCCGGUUGAAUCGCGGUCAACUUGCCGUUGAACCGGUGAACCGUGACCCUGCCACCGAAACGGGUUAAGCCGGCUCGACGGCUACAGAGUCAGGUAUACAGAGACUCUCUCCAAUAAAACGGAGCCCCCCCCUCUCUCUCUCUCACCGCAAAUCCAAAAGAGACAGGAUGGAGACCCCCUGGAGUCCACACGUACACAGUAAUAUUUCCCACCUCUCGCGGCCUCCCCUUUCUCACCCUAUACCAACCCUACUCCCUCCAAUCCUUUCUAGCACCAAAUCACAUCUCGUCACCCUCCCUUAUCUUAAUAAACUCUUCCUGCUAACUAGCUUCUACUUAACUCUGCUCCAAGUUUCUCCCUCCUUCCUCCGAAUCUUUUUUCCUUUCCAUUCCUUAUCAUCCCUCGUUCCCAAUGAUACCAAAACUAGUACUUGCUUCUGCUUCUCCUUCUACUUUUCUCCUAUUCAUUUUUCUUGCUCUCUGCCAACCCUUAAUCUCCCUCUCCUCGACGACAGUAACGGCUACCAGCAAUGCCUCUGCCGGUGCUAGUACGGGAGGAAAGCCAAAACCCUUUAUUUUACCUCUGAGAACCCAAAAGGUCUCAUCUUUGGCCCUCCCCGGGCCUCGCAACAAGCUCCUAUUCCACCACAACGUGAGCCUCACCGUCUCCCUCUCCGUUGGAACGCCGCCCCAGAACGUCUCCAUGGUGCUCGACACCGGCAGCGAGCUCUGCUGGCUCCUCUGCAACGCCACCGCUGGCGGCCCCUCCUUCCACCCCCGCGCCUCCUCCUCCUACGCUCCUGUCCGGUGCUCCUCCGCCACCUGCCGCGACGGCACCCGCGACCUUCCGAUCCCGGCCUCCUGCGACCACGCCACCUCCCUCUGCCACGUGUCCCUCUCCUACGCCGACGCCUCCACCUCCGAGGGCACCCUCGCCGCCGACUCCUUCCGCCUUGGCCAGUCCACUCGUCUGUCCACCAUCUUCGGCUGCAUGGCCUCCGCCUAUUCCUCGACCUCCGGGGGCGACGGCUCCACCACCGCCGGUCUGCUGGGCAUGAACAGGGGAUCCCUCUCCUUCGUCACCCAGACCGCCAUCCAGCGGUUCUCUUACUGCAUCGCCGGUGGAGCCGCCACGGGGGUCCUCCUCCUCGGCGACGCCCCGCCUCCCUUUCUCAUGCCCCUCCACUACACCCCGCUCGUCCAGAUCUCACUGCCGCUCCCCUACUUCGACCGCGUGGCCUACACCGUCCAGCUGGACGGCAUCCGCGUGGCAGCCGUCCUCCUCCCCAUCCCCAAAUCCGUGCUCGUCCCCGACCACACCGGCGCCGGCCAGACCAUGGUGGAUUCCGGCACCCAGUUCACCUUCCUCCUGGGCGCCGCCUACGACGCCUUGAAAGCCGAAUUCUUGAGGCAGACGAAGGGCGUCCUGACCGUCCUGAACGAGCCGGACUUCGUGUUCCAGGGGGCGUUCGACCUGUGCUUCCGGAUCCCGGCGGGGGCUGCGCCGCCGUCGUGGCGGCUGCCGGCGGUGACGCUGAUGUUCCGCGGGGGUGCGGAGGUGAGGGUGGCGGGCGAGCGGCUGCUGUACCGGGCGGCCGGAGAGGCGCGGGGGCGGGACGCGGUGUGGUGCUUUACCUUCGGGAACUCGGAUCUGGUGCCCCUGUCGGCGUACGUGAUUGGGCACCACCACCAGCAGGAUGUGUGGGUGGACUACGACCUCCGCAACUCCAGGGUGGGCUUCGCGCCCGUUCACUGCGCCCAGGCCGCCCAGCGCCUCUGAUGGGUUGGGCCGCCCUAUCGGCCCAUCCUUUUUGAUCUCGAAUACAGAAUACUGUUUUGUAAAGUUUUACGGACUAUUGUUCAUCCUAUUGUCGGAGCUGUUAAUUACCGGGGAGCUUAGACGCCUCCGCGUGGACAGGGAACGCGUCGGCUUUCCCUUCUCUCCUCGCCCUCGUGUCCU